rnacentral:snRNA from 1 species
AACUUUGAGCAGUGGCGGUACCGUAGCCAAUGAAGUUUUUCUAAGGCACGGUUAUAGCUUUUA